GAUUUUCCAAAAAAUUAAGGUGUUCAAAUCAGAAACAGUUGGUAACUGAUUAGAUGUGUGGAUCAAGACAGAGAAGGAUCGGAGGUUGAAACUAUUAAAAGCUGAAUGUACCUAUCCUGGAUUUGAAAGUCAUGAUACCACGAAUGUUGUCAACUCAUUAAUCACAUUUGUAUUUUUCCAUUCCUUGAAAAUCUUCCCCAGAAUUAUUAAAAUGAAGCUAUUGUGUUUGAUUACUGUCGCAUUCAACAGGUUUUCAUUAAUAAAUCAUACAAAAAUUUUGCCUUGCCAUUUUGGAUUUUACACUCUGAAGUUUCUGAGCUGCUUUUCUUUUCCCCUGUAGGUUAAUGGCACAGAUGCAGAUUAUGAAUAUGAAGAAAUCACACUUGAAAGGGUAAAAACUAUUAUCUUAAUCUGUUGUUCUAGAGAACUUUGUAAUAUACUGCUUUUUCAUACAGAAUCCAAGGGAGAUCUCUCAAAAACAGAACUAUAUGAUAUUUUCUAAGUUCCCAGUUCAUAAAAUUGGCCAAGGUAUUUUCAAAACAUUUGCCUUUUCUUUAGUAACCUUAUUUUUUUAAUAAACUUUUUAUUUUACAAUAGUUUUAGAUUUACAAAGAAGUUGUAAAAACAUGGCAAAACUCCGUCUCUACUAAAAAUACAAAAAUUAGCCAGGUGUGGUAACGCAGACCUGUAAUCCCAGCUACUCGAAUCAGGAGAUUCAGUUUUUAUUGUAUGUUAUAAUAGUAAUGCCACCUUAUCUGGCUAGCAUUUUAUGGAAAUCUAGUGUUUCACACAAGCAGAUUUCUUAAGUAACUAAAUGUGUGUAUACUCAAGACUGAAAUCCUAGAUAAUUAGAUUUAUUUAUAUUGGAAUAGAAUCUGAGAAAAAUAAAUCUGAGAGAGUCUCUUACAUGUAUAUCUUUAUUGCCAUCUACUUAAAUUCGGAUCACUUGCUCAAGUUGGGUGGCUACUGGAGUAAUAUUCAAGUAAGCACAGUAUUAAUGUACUGUACAUACUUUAAUAUAGUAGUUUGUGAUGUCUCCUAACUUUUUAUAUUAUUGAUUUUUUAUCUUUUCCCAGGGCCUUUUAAAUUCCUUUUGUUUAGUUAGGACUAUACAUUGUAUUUUUCACUGGUUGAAGAACUUGAGUACCUAAGUAAUUUGGUAACCUCCCAUAAUCCACUGGUACUGUUCUUAAGAUUCAGGUAAUUCAUGAAGUUAGAUUGAAAAACAUUUUUUUAUUAAAAUAGAAUUUUAAGACAAAUGGUGGUAGAGUGGGUGUUUACACUGUUUAAUACUAACAGUUAAAUGAUAGGUCCACAUAUAUUUGCUUACUUGAGUUGCCUGAAAUUCAGUUAGAACAUUCUUCAAGAAAUAAACAUUUUUUAAUACCAUUGGUUAAAUCAAUUAUUUUUAAAGGCUUUUUGUAGCAGUCGAACCCUUUCUGUGAAGAACAUAUUCAGAAAUCUUGUUUCUCCAGUUCAUAAAACAAGCAAAAAGUAGAGCUGCUUUGGCAAAAUUUACUUUGCUGUCAAGAAAAUUCACCAAUGUUAAGUUCUCAGGUUGGUCUUUCAGUCAGUGUGAAACAAUGCCUUUUGCUAAUCGGGUAUAUUGGUUAAACAUGUCAGGGACUGAUGGCAGCUAUCACUUAGCAGCCACAAUUUGGUCAUUUAAAAA
rnacentral:lncRNA from 1 species